AGCAUCAUUUGACGUUAGCGACAGAAGAAGCACCGGCUAACUCCGUGCCAGCAGCCGCGGUAAUACGGAGGGUGCGAGCGUUAAUCGGAAUUACUGGGCGUAAAGCGCAUGCAGGUGGUUCGUUAAGUCAGAUGUGAAAGCCCGGGGCUCAACCUCGGAACUGCAUUUGAAACUGGCGGACUAGAGUACUGUAGAGGGGGGUAGAAUUUCAGGUGUAGCGGUGAAAUGCGUAGAGAUCUGAAGGAAUACCGGUGGCGAAGGCGGCCCCCUGGACAGAUACUGACACUCAGAUGCGAAAGCGUGGGGAGCAAACAGGAUUAGAUACCCUGGUAGUCCACGCCGUAAACGAUGUCUACUUGGAGGUUGUGGCCUUGAGCCGUGGCUUUCGGAGCUAACGCGUUAAGUAGACCGCCUGGGGAGUACGGUCGCAAGAUUAAAACUCAAAUGAAUUGACGGGGGCCCGCACAAGCGGUGGAGCAUGUGGUUUAAUUCGAUGCAACGCGAAGAACCUUACCUACUCUUGACAUCCAGAGAAUCCAGCGGAGACGCAGGAGUGCCUUCGGGAGCUCUGAGACAGGUGCUGCAUGGCUGUCGUCAGCUCGUGUUGUGAAAUGUUGGGUUAAGUCCCGCAACGAGCGCAACCCUUAUCCUUGUUUGCCAGCGAGUAAUGUCGGGAACUCCAGGGAGACUGCCGGUGAUAAACCGGAGGAAGGUGGGGACGACGUCAAGUCAUCAUGGCCCUUACGAGUAGGGCUACACACGUGCUACAAUGGCGCAUACAGAGGGCAGCCAACUUGCGAAAGUGAGCGAAUCCCAAAAAGUGCGUCGUAGUCCGGAUUGGAGUCUGCAACUCGACUCCAUGAAGUCGGAAUCGCUAGUAAUCGUGGAUCAGAAUGCCACGGUGAAUACGUUCCCGGGCCUUGUACACACCGCCCGUCACACCAUGGGAGUGGGCUGCAAAAGAAGUGGGUAGUUUAACCUUUCGGGGAGGACGCUCACCACUUUGUGGUUCAUGACUGGGGUGAAGUCGUAACAAGGUAGCGCUAGGGGAACCUGGCGCUGGAUCACCUCCUUA
rnacentral:rRNA from 1 species